GCGCCGUCAGGCUUGCCUGUUCGGCGCCCCCUGGUGGAUUGGCACCCAGUUGCUCGGAAGACCAGCGCCCGGACCGGGCAAUGUGUAAAAGAUGGCUCCGGGUGGUCCAGAAGGGUGGAUGGACAAAAGCUUUGGCAGAGUGGUGGCCCCGAGCCACAACCUUGCUUGGUCGCCCGGACUUUUGGCCUAUCAGCUGUGACUGUGGUGUAGUGGACCCCCGUGGCUUUGACGGGUAACGGAGAAUCCGGGUUCGAUUCCGGGGGAGGGAGCCUGAGAGGCGGCUACCCCUUCCCAGGUGGGCAGCAGGCCCGCAAAUUUCCCCAAGGCCAUACGGUCCUGGUGAGGCAGCGGCGAACUGCCGCCAUCCCGCGUGUCCUAGCGACCUGUGUGACUUGUUUUAAAGGGCAUCCCAACCCCGUGAUGAGUAUCAACUGGGGGGC
rnacentral:rRNA from 1 species